GCUGGGAGUGGUGGUGCACGCCUGUAAUCCCAGCUACUCAGGAGGCUGAGGCAGGAGAAUUGCUUGAGCCCAGGAGGCAGAGGCUGUAGUGAGCCAAGAUUGCACCACUGCACUCCAGCCUGGGCAACAGAGUUGGACUCUGUCUCAA
ensembl:misc_RNA Metazoa_SRP Metazoan signal recognition particle RNA